GACGAACGCUGGCGGCGUGCUUAACACAUGCAAGUCGAGCGGAAAGGCCACUUCGGUGGUACUCGAGCGGCGAACGGGUGAGUAACACGUGAGUAAUCUGCCCCUGGCUUUGGGAUAGCCACCGGAAACGGUGAUUAAUACCGGAUACGACCACUUCUCGCAUGGGAUGGUGGUGGAAAGUUUUUUCGGCCAGGGAUGUGCUCGCGGCCUAUCCGCUUGAUGGUGAGGUAAUGGCUCACCAUGGCUUCGACGGGUAGCCGGCCUGAGAGGGGGCCCGGUCACACUGGGACUGAGACACGGCCCAGACUCCUACGGGAGGCAGCAGUGGGGAAUAUUGGACAAUGGGCGGAAGCCUGAUCCAGCAACGCCGCGUGAGGGAUGACGGCCUUCGGGUUGUAAACCUCUUUCAGCAGGGACGAAGCGCAAGUGACGGUACCUGCAGAAGAAGCACCGGCCAACUACGUGCCAGCAGCCGCCGUAA
rnacentral:rRNA from 1 species